AUGACGAACGCUGGCGGCGUGCCUAAUACAUGCAAGUCGAGCGAGUCUGCCUUGAAGAUCGGAGUGCUUGCACUCUGUGAAACAAGAUACAGGCUAGCGGCGGACGGGUGAGUAACACGUGGGUAACCUGCCCAAGAGAUCGGGAUAACACCUGGAAACAGAUGCUAAUACCGGAUAACAACAGAUGAUGCCUAUCAACUGUUUAAAAGAUGGUUCUGCUAUCACUCUUGGAUGGACCUGCGGUGCAUUAGCUAGUUGGUAGGGUAACGGCCUACCAAGGCGAUGAUGCAUAGCCGAGUUGAGAGACUGAUCGGCCACAUUGGGACUGAGACACGGCCCAAACUCCUACGGGAGGCAGCAGUAGGGAAUCUUCCACAAUGGACGCAAGUCUGAUGGAGCAACGCCGCGUGAGUGAAGAAGGGUUUCGGCUCGUAAAGCUCUGUUGUUGGUGAAGAAGGACAGGGGUAGUAACUGACCUUUGUUUGACGGUAAUCAAUUAGAAAGUCACGGCUAACUACGUGCCAGCAGCCGCGGUAAUACGUAGGUGGCAAGCGUUGUCCGGAUUUAUUGGGCGUAAAGCGAGUGCAGGCGGCUCGAUAAGUCUGAUGUGAAAGCCUUCGGCUCAACCGGAGAAUUGCAUCAGAAACUGUCGAGCUUGAGCACAGAAGAGGAGAGUGGAACCCCAGGUGUAGCGGUGAAAUGCGUAGAGAUCUGGAGGAAUACCGGUGGCGAAGGCGGCCCCCUGGACGAAGACUGACGCUCAGGUGCGAAAGCGUGGGGAGCAAACAGGAUUAGAUACCCUGGUAGUCCAUGCCGUAAACGAUGAGUGCUAAGUGUUGGGAGGUUUCCGCCUCUCAGUGCUGCAGCUAACGCAUUAAGCACUCCGCCUGGGGAGUACGACCGCAAGGUUGAAACUCAAAUGAAUUGACGGGGGCCCGCACAAGCGGUGGAGCAUGUGGUUUAAUUCGAUGCAACGCGAAGAACCUUACCUGGUCUUGACAUCCACGGAAGUUUUCAGAGAUGAGAAUGUGCCUUCGGGAACCGUGAGACAGGUGCUGCAUGGCUGUCGUCAGCUCGUGUUGUGAAAUGUUGGGUUAAGUCCCGCAACGAGCGCAACCCUUAUCCUUUGUUGCCAGCGGUCCGGCCGGGAACUCAAAGGAGACUGCCAGUGAUAAACUGGAGGAAGGUGGGGAUGACGUCAAGUCAUCAUGGCCCUUACGACCAGGGCUACACACGUGCUACAAUGGCGCAUACAAAGAGAAGCGACCUCGCGAGAGCAAGCGGACCUCAUAAAGUGCGUCGUAGUCCGGAUUGGAGUCUGCAACUCGACUCCAUGAAGUCGGAAUCGCUAGUAAUCGUGGAUCAGAAUGCCACGGUGAAUACGUUCCCGGGCCUUGUACACACCGCCCGUCACACCAUGGGAGUGGGUUGCAAAAGAAGUAGGUAGCUUAACCUUCGGGAGGGCGCUUACCACUUUGUGAUUCAUGACUGGG
rnacentral:rRNA from 1 species